rnacentral:rRNA from 1 species
UGCGCAGGCGGCUUGUAAGUCAGUGGUGAAAUACUGCCGCUCAACGGUAGAACUGCCAUUGAUACUGCAAGUCUUGAAUAUGGUUGAGGUAGGCGGAAUGUGUCGUGUAGCGGUGAAAUGCAUAGAUAUGACACAGAACGCCAAUUGCGAAGGCAGCUUACUAAGCCAUUAUUGACGCUGAGGCACGAAAGCGUGGGGAGCGAACAGGAUUAGAUACCCUGGUAGUCC